rnacentral:rRNA from 1 species
GACGAACGCUGGCGGCGUGGAUUAGGCAUGCAAGUCGAACGGUAGGAUACCUUCGGGUAUCUGAGAGUGGCGAACGGGUGAGUAACACGUAGGUGAUCUACCCUCAAGAUUGGGACAACCCAGGGAAACUUGGGCUAAUACCGGAUGAAAGCAGCAGUGAUGUUGUUUGAAAGGUGGCGUAAGCUGCCGUUUGGGGAUGAGCCUGCGCUCUAUUAGUUAGUUGGCGGGGUAAAGGCCCACCAAGGCGAUGAUAGAUAGGCGGCCUUAACGGGUGGUCGCCCACACUGGGAUUGAGAUACGGCCCAGACUCCUACGGGAGGCAGCAGUCGAGAAUAGUCUACAAUGGCCGAAAGGCUGAUAGUGCGACGCCGCGUGAACGAAGAAGCCCUUCGGGGUGUAAAGUUCUUUUAUAUGUGAGCAGUGCUUUCUAUGUGAACAGCAUGGGGAGAGAGGUAUUAGCAUAUGAAUAAGCAACGGCUAACUCCGUGCCAGCAGCCG